AGUGAACGCUGGCGGUAGGCCUAACACAUGCAAGUCGAACGGAAGCACAGUAAGAGUUUGCUCUUACGGGUGGCGAGUGGCGGACGGGUGAGGAAUACAUCGGCAUCUACUUUUUCGUGGGGGAUAACGUAGGGAAACUUACGCUAAUACCGCAUAUGUUCUACGGGUGAAAGCAGGGGAUCUUCGCACCUUGCGCGAUUGAAUGAGCCGAUGCCGGAUUAGCUAGUUGGCGGGGUAAAGGCCCACCAAGGCGACGCUCCGUAGCUGGUCUGAGAGGAUGAUCGGCCACACUGGAACUGAGACACGGUCCAGACUCCUACGGGAGGCAGCAGUGGGGAAUAUUGGACAAUGGGCGCAAGCCUGAUCCAGCCAUACCGCGUGGGUGAAGAAGGCCUUCGGGUUGUAAAGCCCUUUUGUUGGGAAAGAAAAGCAGCAGGUUAAUACCCCGCUGUUCUGACGGUACCCAAAGAAUAAGCACCGGCUAACUUCGUG
rnacentral:rRNA from 1 species